rnacentral:rRNA from 1 species
GACGAACGCUGGCGGCGUGCUUAACACAUGCAAGUCGAACGGCAAGGCCCUGCUUUUGUGGGGUGCUCGAGUGGCGAACGGGUGAGUAACACGUGAGUAACCUGCCCUUGACUUUGGGAUAACUUCAGGAAACUGGGGCUAAUACCGGAUAGGAGCUCCUGCUGCAUGGUGGGGGUUGGAAAGUUUCGGCGGGUGGGGAUGGACUCGCGGCUUAUCAGCUUGUUGGUGGGGUAGUGGCUUACCCAGGCUUUGACGGGUAGCCGGCCUGAGAGGGUGACCGGCCACAUUGGGACUGAGAGACGGCCCAGACUCCUACGGGAGGCAGCAGUGGGGAAUAUUGCACAAUGGGCGGAAGCCGGAUGCAGCAACGCCGCGUGCGGGAUGACGGCCUUCUGGUUGUAAACCGCUUUCGCCUGUGACGAAGCGUGAGUGACGGUAAUGGGUAAAGAAGCACCGGCUAACUACGUG